rnacentral:rRNA from 1 species
ACCGUAGAACCUUACCAGGGCUUGACAUCGCUGGACCACCGGUGAAAGCCGGUUUUCCCCGCAAGGGGACCAGAUGACGGGUGUUGCAUGGCUGUCGUCAGCUCGUGUCGUGAGAUGUUGGGUUAAGUCCCGCAACGAGCGCAACCCUCACCCCAUGUUGCCAGCGGGUCAUGCCGGGAACUCUUGGGGAACUGCCUGGGUAACCGGGAGGAAGGUGAGGACGACGUCAAGUCAGCAUGGCCCUUACGCCCUGGGCUACAAACAUGCUACAAUGGACGGUAGACAGAGGGAUCCGAGACCGCGAGGUGGAGGCAAUCUCAAAAAUCCGUUCCCAGUUCAGAUCGCAGGCUGCAACUCGCCUGCGUGAAGUCGGAAUCACUAGUAACCGCAGAUCAGAUAAGCUGCGGUGAAUACGUUCCCGGGCCUUGUACACACCGCCCGUCACGUCACCUGAGUUGUCUGCACCCGAAGUCCGUGGCUUAACCCGCAAGGGAAAGAGCGGCCGAAGGUGUGGGGAGCGAGGGGGACGAAGUCGUAACAAGGUAGCCGUAUCGGAAGGUGCGGCUGGA